GUGCUCGCUUUGCAGCACAUAUACUAACAUUGGAACAAUACAGAGCGGAUGCACAUGGCCCCUGUGCAAGGGUGACACGCAAAUUUUUGAAGCAAAAAAAAGAAAG
ensembl:snRNA U6 U6 spliceosomal RNA